GCUGAUGAGCCUGUGUGAGGUUUUUCUAUUGCUGAAUUAAUUGGAGUAGGAGAUGAGGCAGACACUCAAUGAAUUGUCUGCCUUUCAGAGCACUUUAGUAGAAAAUACACAGAGAUUCGCUCUUAGACACUUCCUCUCCCUUGUCUGGCCUGUUCUCUAGCUGUGCUGGCCCCGUGCCUGCUUUUCCUCUUUCUGGCCACAUGCUUCUUUUGCUCUCGCUCAUCGUGUAUCAUACAGCUUCCUCUUUAUUUCCCCCUCCAUCCCUUUAGCCAGCCCAGAGGACUGAGGACACACCAGCAGAUCCUGGCCACUUUGCAAAAGCAGCUACAUGUGCCUGGGUGAGCAGCAUGCCUGCAGCUCCUGCUGCUUUGGGACAAGGUCCUGGAGGUUUGGGAGACCUGGUUCUUCUGCCAGUAGCUCUGGGAGAGGCUGGAUGGAUCAUACAGCUGUAGCCCAGACGCUAACCUCUUCCUAAGAUGUGGAGCAGAUCUGAUGGCAGGAAGCUGCUUGUUCCAGGAUUCCUGAUGAAGUUCAGGAUCUGAAAGCAGCAGCCAUGCAUCCGUCAGAUUUUUGUAGGUUAGAAAAGGGAGAGAGAUGGGAGGGAGGAAGGGGAGAGGCUGAACUUUUAAUAAUGAAGCUUGUGUAUUUCAAAAAUUAGCAUUAGAAGAGGAAAAAAGAAAAUCUUGUGUUUAAAUUUUUACAUAGUCAACAUUUCCAGACAGUGAUAAAUGCAUUUUGCAACACGCAUUCAGCUAAUGACAGCUACGAUCUUGAUGGAGCUAAGUGGAAAAUACACAUCCUUCACUUUUUUUUUUUUUUUUUUUUUUUUUCUGAUAAGGAAAAAUGUGUGUGUCGGGGGUGUUUCAUUCUGAAGAAGUUGCAAGUGGCUGAGAGCCCGCGGGGGGCACGGCCCCUGC
rnacentral:lncRNA from 1 species